CGUUUUCAAAAUGUUUUGAUGUCCACACUAAAACGCAAAGCCGGCGUUUUCAAAUUCCUUUGAAUGACGGACUAGUGACGGACUAGUGUGGACGGUAGGCCUAACCGGAGAAAUGAGGCUCCGUUUACAAAUUCCUCCGGCUUAGUGUGGACAGGGCGUGAACACUAGUACGUCUAGGAGUUAUGUCUUUACUUUAGUAGGCUCCUUCACAAACGAUGUUCAGGCUCGUCAAGAAAGUCUAUGUAAGAACCUCUGUAAAAGCGAGUUAAUAGUCUAGAAAUUUACAUCUGGAUGUUAUGUCCUUUUAAAACCUAAAAUUUGGUCUAGGUAUUUACAAAUUAAGCAGAAUGUCAUUGGAGUUUUUUAAUUGCGCUUUUCGUUAGUUACAAUUGUCUGUAUGGUUGUUAUCUUUGAAUGCCAUUGGAGGAGGUUGACAACAAGUUGUACUUUACUUCGUGCAAGAGCCAUGCAAAUUUAGUAAAGAUAUUUGCAAAUUUGGCAGGACGUCACUGGGUAUUUUUUUAUUGCGCUUUUCAUUAUUUACAAUUGUCUGUAUCGUUGUUAGCUCUGAAAGCCAUUGGAGGAGGUUGACAACAAGUUGUAUUUUACUUCGUGCAAGAAAGAGAGUGGUAGCGUGUUUCGUCACUUAUGAUUAUGUUAAGUGCAAGUAUGGUGCUGUUCAAGUUCUCCAAUUUCGAGGGCUUGUUUGUAAAACAUGACAUAUCGUAUUUCCAAAUUGCAAUAACAGGCAAGACAUGUAAAUUUAAAGUGAAACAAUUGUUUACCAAAGGAAGAAAAUACUGUUUAAUUUCGUUUUGCCAUUGUUAAAGCUUCCUCUCUCGCUCCAGGAAACAUGUUCAAACUUUCUACCUAGAUGUUUAAAAACAGGGUCAUGCAUACAGAAAAAACAAGAUAAGUGAAAGCUUUUUUCUCAACUUGAAAUGGCCGAGUCCUGGUAUGGAAAUGACUGACUUGUUCUGUAAAAAUAUAUUGAAAAGGUCUUCUAGUUUAGUAUUUGAUUUAAACUGAACUGUGCCUUGGAUCAAGGACUUAAUAGUUUACUUGAAAUGCCGCAAUGUAUUUAUUUGUUAUGUUAUGGUUUCACCAGGGCUUUUUAUCUUAAAUUAAGUGAUCUUUGACUGUAGUUAUGUUCGACUGGGAUCAAUGAAGAUGGCAUUCUUAACUGUUCUCGCUUGGCACUUGUGUACAAACCGAACUUGAAACCGAAAUUUCAGCGGCUUGUGUAGUAAUUCCUGAUCAUUCGUUGGUUCAGUCAUGUAAUUCUUGGUACCAACUAAAGCUCUGCAGUCACGUUUCUGACGCCAUUAGAAAAGCGGACGUGACCAUUCUCCCUCCAACAGCAUUUUUCAUUCUUUUGUUUUCGUUUGAAAUAUCAGUUGCAGGUGCGCGACUAUGCCCGCGGCUAUGUCAGAUACUGCACUAAAAAAAUAUACGAGGCAGGAAAUUGGUAUUUACCCCAACAUACAGGGAACGUCUCUCAUUGGUUUUAACAAGCCGUAAAUUUCACUCCGAGGUGCUCUUGAUAACACUGAUCACAUUCGAAUUCAUGAUAUCAAUUUGUUCCACGUUAACAAAACUCUUCUUAACGGCCCCAUGUCGUUGUGUGAAGACAUCCAAGCUAGGGCGGUUCUCUUGUCAGCCUUCAUUUGAAUAUUUACAUUUACCCUAAAGACUUAAAAAUGCUAUUCACCGCGGCCAUUCUUAUUAUUGUUUAAAAUAACUAGGAAAUAUGGCUGACAAACCAGCCAAACUGAUAUUCACUGAGCUAAAGUUUAGAUCGAGCAUAAUUACGAUGCAAAAGUCGUUAUUUAAAAACGUGAUGUUGUCAGCAACAGUUUCUCCCUUAUUCUUUAUUGGCAAAUCCCACCUGCGCAAAACUAUUUGUUGAGAUCAAAUUGUUCCGAGGCCUUUGACUUUUUCCGUGUUGAUUAAGAAUGCGCAUGACAUUAAGCGUGUAAAUGACUCUUUCCGCGCAAUUCAUUGUAAUUGAAUGAGCAUUAUUUUGGCGUCUUGGAUGUGAACGAUUAGUGCGUUCCUGCUUAGAGGGAUCAAGUUUCUUGCGUGUUUAGCACCUAGCAACAACAAAGUGGCUAUUUGCACAUGAGCGCGCUUUUUCAGUGGAGUGUAACACGUAAUGAGUGCGAGGAAACGACACGAUUGGAGAUUUCAGUCUUGUGUUUGUAAUUUUUUUCAGAGAGCGUAUCCGUCGCCGUUGUUGAUGACAGGUUUAGAGGACUAGUCCUCCUUCCACGAUAUCCACAAGAUGACCGAGGUCAACAGCCUUGCAACUAACUGUUCUUUUAUGGUCGAUAAUCCCGAGCGACGACGUCAGCUAUUCGGGACUAACAUCGCGGUCAUCGUGUUGAAUUCGAUUUUUGCGUUGACGACUACCUUCCAGAACUUGCCAGUUAUUUACGCGAUUUUGAAAACGCCAUCCUUGCACAAUCCUCCCUACGUCCUCCUGUGCUCACUGGCCACGACGGAUCUCUUGGUGGGAUGCGUCAUACAACCUCUGUACAUCGCACACAAUGCCAUGCUCGUCGAUGGACUGCGCUUUUCCUGCGCGCUGUGGUAUGCCAAAGAGACCCUGUUACUCUUAUUCAUGUUUCUAUCGAUCUGUACCUUGGUGUUGAUUAGCACCGAGCGCUGGCUCGCCUUACAUUUCCACCUCAGAUAUCGUGAAAUUGUCACGAUGUCUCGAACGCUCUCGUCGAUUGGGUCAACUUGGUUCUUUUGCACGGCGUCCGUCAUCGCCUGGCCGUUAGGUCUUAAUAUGUACAGUUUCACAAUGGUCGGCCUUAUUGUUAUUACAGCAGCCGCGCUUCUAUUGCUUUUUACGUAUAUUAAGUUAUUUCUGAUACUGCGGCGUCACAAAGCUCUCAUUGAGAGUCAAGCCAAGCUGCAACCCCAAUCUGUGAACUUACGAAAACAUAGAAAGUCGUCGGCCACCAUGCUGUACCUGGUGAUGUUGUUUUUCAUAUUCUACUCACCUACUUUUUACGCCAUGAUUCAUUACUUGGAAUCAGACUCUGAUUUCAGCAGCGUUAAUCAGACCAUUUUGUGGGAAGUUGCAAAAACAGUGGCGUUGAUAAACGCCUCGGUAAAUCCGAUCAUGUAUUACUGGAAAAUGCGGGAACUUCGACGCGCCAUGCGAAACGUAUUCGGUUUUUCGUCAGCAACGCGGGUUCACGUCGGAGAUGUCAUAACGCCCGGAUCGGGAAGCAUGGACAAUGACUUCAGAAGCAGGAACGAACAACAGCGCCAAGGGUCUUUCUCGGUGAGACCGCGGGGAAGCUUGUCCAACGUGGGGCCUGCCAGGUCUGAUAUACACCAAGAUCAGGUAACAGAAUCGACAACAGAAGCGAAGCCGCAGCAGGAAAAAAAGUUGUUCCUUUUGCCGAGAUUUCUGGAGCCUGGUCCGAGUUUUCGAGGAUAAUUUCCGCUGAAGAAGGGUGAAUAAAACAGGUUAUGUAAUAGAAGCAAUGAACCGUACGAUUUUUUGAGGUGGUUAUGGUGCGAAAAUUCUCGUUAAUUGUCCAGUAUUAUAUAGAAUCCAAGUGGGAUGACGUUAAAGCUCAGUUAAAACGUAGCUUUUUUUUAUAUCAGAGAUCAGAAAACAGAGUUCAAGUUUUCGGUAGAUUUACUGUUCUCGCCUAAACACCAAUCGUGUUUUAAUCGUCUACAUAUUGAGCUUGCGUUUAGUUUACCAGGAGAAAAGAUACAUAGGAUUUCUUUUGACUUUCCAGGGGCUAUUAGUUUAGUUGAUUUCGAUAUUCACGUCGUUGAAGACUGCAAUUUACAGACUUCUUUCAAGGGCCCUUAAAGCAACAAGAAUAGAGUAAAAAAUUAAUUUUCUCUUUCGCCUUGGCUGGAAUUGUCAUAUUUGUCCGUUCCUUAACGUAUUUAGUUUAACUGUUGAAGGCACUUCCCGUUUAGUUUAAGUUUUCAGUUUUAAUUCUUAACAAUUUUGUACUUUUAUAAUUCUUUCCUGAUUUUUCUUGAAAGGAUUCAACCAACAAAAGAAACAAUUCAGUUGAUGCGGAACAUCUAGCGCAGGAUAUGUUUAGACUUUAGUGGACAAUAUUUUGCGUUAUGCUAAUUCUCCUUUCUUUUUUAAUCAUCUGCCCUGGAGAAAACCGAUCUUCAAUUGCUAUCUGACAUGCUAUCAUUUGCUUUUCACUUAUUUUUUCUCCCCUUUUGGCAAAGCGACAAACUGAGUUAAAAACAAAAGCGCACCUGAUUAGAAUCGAAACUAAUAUGUUAGGUAUAUAGCUUGUUUAAUUUGGCAAUUUAAAUUAUGAAAAUGUUUUUAAACCUCCUCAGAUCUCAUAUAAAUUAUUUCCUUUGGCAUAAUAGCUGAUACCUGAUAGUGAUUUUAAUUUUUCUGCGUUUUUCCUUGUGUUAUGUUGUUAAAUAAAGACAAUAGUGUUUUGUCAUCGCGUUAUUGGCAGUUUCCCGUUUGGCGAUUCGUUAUUGAUAGUUUGCCAUGAUGUGUGAUAUUUUUAUUUAGUGCCGUCUUCUUAGUAGACUUGGCAGCAAUUGAAGAUGCUGUUCAAAAUUAGCGAAACUUCAACACCGAAUCUGUAAUUUAACGAUAAUCGCUUUUCCACCUUGAUUUAAAUAAGAUAAUAACGACACUGGAAAUUACCCACGAAUGUAAUGCUAUUGUACAAACGUCUUAAAAUGUACCUAGAUGUUUAAAAACAGGGUCAUGCAUACAGAAAAAACAAGAUAAGUGAAAGCUUUUUUCUCAACUUGAAAUGGCCGAGUCCUGGUAUGGAAAUGACUGACUUGUUCUGUAAAAAUAUAUUGAAAAGGUCUUCUAGUUUAGUAUUUGAUUUAAACUGAACUGUGCCUUGGAUCAAGGACUUAAUAGUUUACUUGAAAUGCCGCAAUGUAUUUAUUUGUUAUGUUAUGGUUUCACCAGGGCUUUUUAUCUUAAAUUAAGUGAUCUUUGACUGUAGUUAUGUUCGACUGGGAUCAAUGAAGAUGGCAUUCUUAACUGUUCUCGCUUGGCACUUGUGUACAAACCGAACUUGAAACCGAAAUUUCAGCGGCUUGUGUAGUAAUUCCUGAUCAUUCGUUGGUUCAGUCAUGUAAUUCUUGGUACCAACUAAAGCUCUGCAGUCACGUUUCUGACGCCAUUAGAAAAGCGGACGUGACCAUUCUCCCUCCAACAGCAUUUUUCAUUCUUUUGUUUUCGUUUGAAAUAUCAGUUGCAGGUGCGCGACUAUGCCCGCGGCUAUGUCAGAUACUGCACUAAAAAAAUAUACGAGGCAGGAAAUUGGUAUUUACCCCAACAUACAGGGAACGUCUCUCAUUGGUUUUAACAAGCCGUAAAUUUCACUCCGAGGUGCUCUUGAUAACACUGAUCACAUUCGAAUUCAUGAUAUCAAUUUGUUCCACGUUAACAAAACUCUUCUUAACGGCCCCAUGUCGUUGUGUGAAGACAUCCAAGCUAGGGCGGUUCUCUUGUCAGCCUUCAUUUGAAUAUUUACAUUUACCCUAAAGACUUAAAAAUGCUAUUCACCGCGGCCAUUCUUAUUAUUGUUUAAAAUAACUAGGAAAUAUGGCUGACAAACCAGCCAAACUGAUAUUCACUGAGCUAAAGUUUAGAUCGAGCAUAAUUACGAUGCAAAAGUCGUUAUUUAAAAACGUGAUGUUGUCAGCAACAGUUUCUCCCUUAUUCUUUAUUGGCAAAUCCCACCUGCGCAAAACUAUUUGUUGAGAUCAAAUUGUUCCGAGGCCUUUGACUUUUUCCGUGUUGAUUAAGAAUGCGCAUGACAUUAAGCGUGUAAAUGACUCUUUCCGCGCAAUUCAUUGUAAUUGAAUGAGCAUUAUUUUGGCGUCUUGGAUGUGAACGAUUAGUGCGUUCCUGCUUAGAGGGAUCAAGUUUCUUGCGUGUUUAGCACCUAGCAACAACAAAGUGGCUAUUUGCACAUGAGCGCGCUUUUUCAGUGGAGUGUAACACGUAAUGAGUGCGAGGAAACGACACGAUUGGAGAUUUCAGUCUUGUGUUUGUAAUUUUUUUCAGAGAGCGUAUCCGUCGCCGUUGUUGAUGACAGGUUUAGAGGACUAGUCCUCCUUCCACGAUAUCCACAAGAUGACCGAGGUCAACAGCCUUGCAACUAACUGUUCUUUUAUGGUCGAUAAUCCCGAGCGACGACGUCAGCUAUUCGGGACUAACAUCGCGGUCAUCGUGUUGAAUUCGAUUUUUGCGUUGACGACUACCUUCCAGAACUUGCCAGUUAUUUACGCGAUUUUGAAAACGCCAUCCUUGCACAAUCCUCCCUACGUCCUCCUGUGCUCACUGGCCACGACGGAUCUCUUGGUGGGAUGCGUCAUACAACCUCUGUACAUCGCACACAAUGCCAUGCUCGUCGAUGGACUGCGCUUUUCCUGCGCGCUGUGGUAUGCCAAAGAGACCCUGUUACUCUUAUUCAUGUUUCUAUCGAUCUGUACCUUGGUGUUGAUUAGCACCGAGCGCUGGCUCGCCUUACAUUUCCACCUCAGAUAUCGUGAAAUUGUCACGAUGUCUCGAACGCUCUCGUCGAUUGGGUCAACUUGGUUCUUUUGCACGGCGUCCGUCAUCGCCUGGCCGUUAGGUCUUAAUAUGUACAGUUUCACAAUGGUCGGCCUUAUUGUUAUUACAGCAGCCGCGCUUCUAUUGCUUUUUACGUAUAUUAAGUUAUUUCUGAUACUGCGGCGUCACAAAGCUCUCAUUGAGAGUCAAGCCAAGCUGCAACCCCAAUCUGUGAACUUACGAAAACAUAGAAAGUCGUCGGCCACCAUGCUGUACCUGGUGAUGUUGUUUUUCAUAUUCUACUCACCUACUUUUUACGCCAUGAUUCAUUACUUGGAAUCAGACUCUGAUUUCAGCAGCGUUAAUCAGACCAUUUUGUGGGAAGUUGCAAAAACAGUGGCGUUGAUAAACGCCUCGGUAAAUCCGAUCAUGUAUUACUGGAAAAUGCGGGAACUUCGACGCGCCAUGCGAAACGUAUUCGGUUUUUCCUCAGCAACGCGGGUUCACGUCGGAGAUGUCAUAACGCCCGGAUCGGGAAGCAUGGACAAUGACUUCAGAAGCAGGAACGAACAACAGCGCCAAGGGUCUUUCUCGGUGAGACCGCGGGGAAGCUUGUCCAACGUGGGGCCUGCCAGGUCUGAUAUACACCAAGAUCAGGUAACAGAAUCGACAACAGAAGCGAAGCCGCAGCAGGAAAAAAAGUUGUUCCUUUUGCCGAGAUUUCUGGAGCCUGGUCCGAGUUUUCGAGGAUAAUUUCCGCUGAAGAAGGGUGAAUAAAACAGGUUAUGUAAUAGAAGCAAUGAACCGUACGAUUUUUUGAGGUGGUUAUGGUGCGAAAAUUCUCGUUAAUUGUCCAGUAUUAUAUAGAAUCCAAGUGGGAUGACGUUAAAGCUCAGUUAAAACGUAGCUUUUUUUUAUAUCAGAGAUCAGAAAACAGAGUUCAAGUUUUCGGUAGAUUUACUGUUCUCGCCUAAACACCAAUCGUGUUUUAAUCGUCUACAUAUUGAGCUUGCGUUUAGUUUACCAGGAGAAAAGAUACAUAGGAUUUCUUUUGACUUUCCAGGGGCUAUUAGUUUAGUUGAUUUCGAUAUUCACGUCGUUGAAGACUGCAAUUUACAGACUUCUUUCAAGGGCCCUUAAAGCAACAAGAAUAGAGUAAAAAAUUAAUUUUCUCUUUCGCCUUGGCUGGAAUUGUCAUAUUUGUCCGUUCCUUAACGUAUUUAGUUUAACUGUUGAAGGCACUUCCCGUUUAGUUUAAGUUUUCAGUUUUAAUUCUUAACAAUUUUGUACUUUUAUAAUUCUUUCCUGAUUUUUCUUGAAAGGAUUCAACCAACAAAAGAAACAAUUCAGUUGAUGCGGAACAUCUAGCGCAGGAUAUGUUUAGACUUUAGUGGACAAUAUUUUGCGUUAUGCUAAUUCUCCUUUCUUUUUUAAUCAUCUGCCCUGGAGAAAACCGAUCUUCAAUUGCUAUCUGACAUGCUAUCAUUUGCUUUUCACUUAUUUUUUCUCCCCUUUUGGCAAAGCGACAAACUGAGUUAAAAACAAAAGCGCACCUGAUUAGAAUCGAAACUAAUAUGUUAGGUAUAUAGCUUGUUUAAUUUGGCAAUUUAAAUUAUGAAAAUGUUUUUAAACCUCCUCAGAUCUCAUAUAAAUUAUUUCCUUUGGCAUAAUAGCUGAUACCUGAUAGUGAUUUUAAUUUUUCUGCGUUUUUCCUUGUGUUAUGUUGUUAAAUAAAGACAAUAGUGUUUUGUCAUCGCGUUAUUGGCAGUUUCCCGUUUGGCGAUUCGUUAUUGAUAGUUUGCCAUGAUGUGUGAUAUUUUUAUUUAGUGCCGUCUUCUUAGUAGACUUGGCAGCAAUUGAAGAUGCUGUUCAAAAUUAGCGAAACUUCAACACCGAAUCUGUAAUUUAACGAUAAUCGCUUUUCCACCUUGAUUUAAAUAAGAUAAUAACGACACUGGAAAUUACCCACGAAUGUAAUGCUAUUGUACAAACGUCUUAAAAUGUACCUAGAUGUUUAAAAACAGGGUCAUGCAUACAGAAAAAACAAGAUAAGUGAAAGCUUUUUUCUCAACUUGAAAUGGCCGAGUCCUGAGAGCGUAUCCGUCGCCGUUGUUGAUGACAGGUUUAGAGGACUAGUCCUCCUUCCACGAUAUCCACAAGAUGACCGAGGUCAACAGCCUUGCAACUAACUGUUCUUUUAUGGUCGAUAAUCCCGAGCGACGACGUCAGCUAUUCGGGACUAACAUCGCGGUCAUCGUGUUGAAUUCGAUUUUUGCGUUGACGACUACCUUCCAGAACUUGCCAGUUAUUUACGCGAUUUUGAAAACGCCAUCCUUGCACAAUCCUCCCUACGUCCUCCUGUGCUCACUGGCCACGACGGAUCUCUUGGUGGGAUGCGUCAUACAACCUCUGUACAUCGCACACAAUGCCAUGCUCGUCGAUGGACUGCGCUUUUCCUGCGCGCUGUGGUAUGCCAAAGAGACCCUGUUACUCUUAUUCAUGUUUCUAUCGAUCUGUACCUUGGUGUUGAUUAGCACCGAGCGCUGGCUCGCCUUACAUUUCCACCUCAGAUAUCGUGAAAUUGUCACGAUGUCUCGAACGCUCUCGUCGAUUGGGUCAACUUGGUUCUUUUGCACGGCGUCCGUCAUCGCCUGGCCGUUAGGUCUUAAUAUGUACAGUUUCACAAUGGUCGGCCUUAUUGUUAUUACAGCAGCCGCGCUUCUAUUGCUUUUUACGUAUAUUAAGUUAUUUCUGAUACUGCGGCGUCACAAAGCUCUCAUUGAGAGUCAAGCCAAGCUGCAACCCCAAUCUGUGAACUUACGAAAACAUAGAAAGUCGUCGGCCACCAUGCUGUACCUGGUGAUGUUGUUUUUCAUAUUCUACUCACCUACUUUUUACGCCAUGAUUCAUUACUUGGAAUCAGACUCUGAUUUCAGCAGCGUUAAUCAGACCAUUUUGUGGGAAGUUGCAAAAACAGUGGCGUUGAUAAACGCCUCGGUAAAUCCGAUCAUGUAUUACUGGAAAAUGCGGGAACUUCGACGCGCCAUGCGAAACGUAUUCGGUUUUUCGUCAGCAACGCGGGUUCACGUCGGAGAUGUCAUAACGCCCGGAUCGGGAAGCAUGGACAAUGACUUCAGAAGCAGGAACGAACAACAGCGCCAAGGGUCUUUCUCGGUGAGACCGCGGGGAAGCUUGUCCAACGUGGGGCCUGCCAGGUCUGAUAUACACCAAGAUCAGGUAACAGAAUCGACAACAGAAGCGAAGCCGCAGCAGGAAAAAAAGUUGUUCCUUUUGCCGAGAUUUCUGGAGCCUGGUCCGAGUUUUCGAGGAUAAUUUCCGCUGAAGAAGGGUGAAUAAAACAGGUUAUGUAAUAGAAGCAAUGAACCGUACGAUUUUUUGAGGUGGUUAUGGUGCGAAAAUUCUCGUUAAUUGUCCAGUAUUAUAUAGAAUCCAAGUGGGAUGACGUUAAAGCUCAGUUAAAACGUAGCUUUUUUUUAUAUCAGAGAUCAGAAAACAGAGUUCAAGUUUUCGGUAGAUUUACUGUUCUCGCCUAAACACCAAUCGUGUUUUAAUCGUCUACAUAUUGAGCUUGCGUUUAGUUUACCAGGAGAAAAGAUACAUAGGAUUUCUUUUGACUUUCCAGGGGCUAUUAGUUUAGUUGAUUUCGAUAUUCACGUCGUUGAAGACUGCAAUUUACAGACUUCUUUCAAGGGCCCUUAAAGCAACAAGAAUAGAGUAAAAAAUUAAUUUUCUCUUUCGCCUUGGCUGGAAUUGUCAUAUUUGUCCGUUCCUUAACGUAUUUAGUUUAACUGUUGAAGGCACUUCCCGUUUAGUUUAAGUUUUCAGUUUUAAUUCUUAACAAUUUUGUACUUUUAUAAUUCUUUCCUGAUUUUUCUUGAAAGGAUUCAACCAACAAAAGAAACAAUUCAGUUGAUGCGGAACAUCUAGCGCAGGAUAUGUUUAGACUUUAGUGGACAAUAUUUUGCGUUAUGCUAAUUCUCCUUUCUUUUUUAAUCAUCUGCCCUGGAGAAAACCGAUCUUCAAUUGCUAUCUGACAUGCUAUCAUUUGCUUUUCACUUAUUUUUUCUCCCCUUUUGGCAAAGCGACAAACUGAGUUAAAA
rnacentral:misc_RNA from 1 species